ACGUAGGGGGCAAGCGUUAUCCGGAAUUAUUGGGCGUAAAGAGUGCGUAGGUGGUUUUUUAAGCGUGAGGUGAAAGGCAAUAGCUUAACUAUUGUAAGCCUUGCGAACUGGAAGACUUGAGUGCAGGAGAGGAAAGUGGAGUUCCUAGUGUAGCGGUUAAAUGCGUAGAUAUUAGGAGGAACACCAGUGGUGAAGGCGACUAUCUGGGAUGUAACUGACCCGGAGGCAUGAAAGCGUCGGGAUCAAACAG
rnacentral:rRNA from 1 species